rnacentral:rRNA from 1 species
CCUACGGGAGGCAGCAGUGAGGAAUAUUGGUCAAUGGGCGGGAGCCUGAACCAGCCAAGUCGCGUGAGGGAUGACGGUCCUAUGGAUUGUAAACCUCUUUUGGCGGGGAGCAAUGCCGGGCACGCGUGCCCGGAGCGAGAGUACCCGCAGAAUAAGCAUCGGCUAACUCCGUGCCAGCAGCCGCGGUAAUACGUAGGGAGCGAGCGUUAUCCGGAAUUAUUGGGUGUAAAGGGUGCGUAGACGGGAAAACAAGUUAGGUGUGAAAUACCUCGGCUUAACCGAGGAACUGCAGCUAAAACUAUUGUUCUUGAGUGCAGGAGAGGUAAGUGGAAUGCGUAGUGUAGCGGUGAAAUGCGUAGAUAUUAGGAGGAACACCAGUGGCGAAGGCGACUUACUGGACUGUAACUGACGUUGAGGCACGAAAGUGUGGGGAGCAAACAGGAUUAGAUACCCGAGUAGUC